AGAACGAACGCUGGCGGCAGGCUUAACACAUGCAAGUCGGGCGCCCCGCAAGGGGAGCGGCAGACGGGUGAGUAACGCGUGGGAACAUACCCUCCGGUUCGGAAUAGCUCAGGGAAACUUGGAUUAAUACCGGAUACGGCCUAGCGGCGAAAGAUUCAUCGCCGGAGGAUUGGCCCGCGUUCGAUUAGCUAGUUGGUGAGGUAACGGCUCACCAAGGCGACGAUCGAUAGCUGGUCUGAGAGGAUGAUCAGCCACAUUGGGACUGAGACACGGCCCAAACUCCUACGGGAGGCAGCAGUGGGGAAUAUUGGACAAUGGGCGCAAGCCUGAUCCAGCCAUGCCGCGUGAGUGAUGACGGCCUUAGGGUUGUAAAGCUCUUUCGCUAGGGACGAUAAUGACGGUACCUAGACAAGAAGCCCCGGCUAACUUCGUGCCAGCAGCCGC
rnacentral:rRNA from 1 species